rnacentral:rRNA from 1 species
UUUCCUACGGGAGGCUGCAGUCGAGAAUUUUUCUCAAUGGGCGAAAGCCUGAAGGAGCGACGCCGCGUGGAGGACGAAGGUCUUCGGACUGUAAACUCCUGUCAUGAGGGAACAAGUAAGUGAUAGUACCUCAAGAGGAAGAGACGGCUAGCUCUGUGCCAGCAGCCGCGGUAAUACAGAGGUGGCAAGCGUUGUUCGGAUUCAUUGGGCGUAAAGGGUGCGUAGGCGGCGCCGUAAGUCUGGUGUGAAAUCCCGGGGCUCAACCCCGGAACUGCACUGGAUACUGCGGUGCUCGAGGACUGGAGAGGAGAUUGGAAUUCACGGUGUAGCAGUGAAAUGCGUAGAUAUCGUGAGGAAGACCAGUGGCGAAGGCGGAUCUCUGGACAGUUCCUGACGCUGAGGCACGAAGGCCAGGGGAGCAAACGGGAUUAGAUACCCCGGUAGUCCUGGCAGUAAACGGUGCACGUUUGGUGUGGGAGGAUUCGACCCCUUCUGUGCCGGAGCUAACGCGUUAAACGUGCCGCCUGGGGAGUACGGUCGCAAGAUUAAAACUCAAAGAAAUUGACGGGGGCCCGCACAAGCGGUGGAGUAUGUGGCUUAAUUCGAUGCAACGCGAAGAACCUUACCAAGCCUUGACAUGCAGGGAUUAACUGGGUGAAAGCCCGGGGAUUGCCGCAAGGUGUAACCUGCACAGGUGCUGCAUGGCUGUCGUCAGCUCGUGUCGUGAGAUGUUGGGUUAAGUCCCGCAACGAGCGCAACCCCUGUGAACUGUUGCCACUCCCUUCGGGGAAGCACUCUGUUCAGACUGCCCUGUGAAACGGGGAGGAAGGUGGGGACGACGUCAAGUCAGGAUGGCCCUUACGGCUUGGGCUGCACACGUACUACAAUGCCCAGUACAGAAUGAUCCGAGACCGCGAGGUGGAGGAAAUCCAUAAAACUGGGCCCAAUUCGGAUUGGAGGCUGCAACUCGCCUCCAUGAAGCCGGAGUUGCUAGUAAACGCGCGUCAGCUAUAGUGCGUUGAAUACGUUCUCGGGCCUUGUACACACCGCCA